rnacentral:rRNA from 2 species
GACGCAUCACUGGUGUUCGGGUUGUCAUGCCAAUGGCACUGCCCGGUAGCUAAAUGCGGAAGAGAUAAGUGCUGAAAGCAUCUAAGCACGAAACUUGCCCCGAGAUGAGUUCUCCCUGACCCUUUAAGGGUCCUGAAGGAACGUUGAAGACGACGACGUUGAUAGGCCGGGUGUGUAAGCGCAGCGAUGCGUUGAGCUAACCGGUACUAAUGAACCGUGAGGCUUAACCUUACAACGCCGAAG